rnacentral:rRNA from 1 species
GAUGAACGCUGGCGGCGUGCCUAAUACAUGCAAGUCGAGCGAACGGACGAGAAGCUUGCUUCUCUGAUGUUAGCGGCGGACGGGUGAGUAACACGUGGGUAACCUACCUAUCAGACUGGGAUAACUUCGGGAAACCGUAGCUAAUACCGGAUAAUAUUUUUAACCGCAUGGUUCAAAAGUGAAAGACGGUCUUGCUGUCACUUAUAGAUGGAUCCGCGCUGCAUUAGCUAGUUGGUAAGGUAACGGCUUACCAAGGCAACGAUGGAUAGCCGACCUGAGAGGGUGCACGGCUACGAUGGAACGGAGAGACGGGCCAGACGCCUACGGGAGGCGGCAGUAGGGAAUCUUCCGCAAUGGGCGAAAGGCUGACGGAGCAACGCCGCGUGAGUGAUGAAGGUCUUCGGAUCGUAAAACUCUGUUAUUAGGGAAGAACAUAUGUGUAAGUAACUGUGCACAUCUUGACGGUACCUAAUCAGAAAGCCACGGCUAACUACGUG